CUUAACACAUGCAAGUCGAACGCUGAAGCCCAGCUUGCUGGGUGGAUGAGUGGCGAACGGGUGAGUAACACGUGAGUGACCUUCCCUUGACUCUGGGAUAAGCCCGGGAAACUGGGUCUAAUACCGGAUACGACCUCCUAUCGCAUGGUGGGGGGUGGAAAGAUUUAUCGGUCUUGGAUGGACUCGCGGCCUAUCAGCUUGUUGGUGAGGUAAUGGCUCACCAAGGCGACGACGGGUAGCCGGCCUGAGAGGGUGACCGGCCACACUGGGACUGAGACACGGCCCAGACUCCUACGGGAGGCAGCAGUGGGGAAUAUUGCACAAUGGGCGCAAGCCUGAUGCAGCGACGCCGCGUGAGGGAUGACGGCCUUCGGGUUGUAAACCUCUUUCAGUAGGGAAGAAGCGAAAGUGACGGUACCUGCAGAAGAAGCGCCGGCUAACUACGUGCCAGCAGCCGCGGUAAUACGUAGGGCGCGAGCGUUAUCCGGAAUUAUUGGGCGUAAAGAGCUCGUAGGCGGUUUGUCGCGUCUGCCGUGAAAGUCCGGGGCUUAACCCCGGAUCUGCGGUGGGUACGGGCAGACUAGAGUGCAGUAGGGGAGACUGGAAUUCCUGGUGUAGCGGUGAAAUGCGCAGAUAUCAGGAGGAACACCGAUGGCGAAGGCAGGUCUCUGGGCUGUUACUGACGCUGAGGAGCGAAAGCAUGGGGAGCGAACAGGAUUAGAUACCCUGGUAGUCCAUGCCGUAAACGUUGGGCACUAGGUGUGGGGGCCAUUCCACGGUUUCCGCGCCGCAGCUAACGCAUUAAGUGCCCCGCCUGGGGAGUACGGCCGCAAGGCUAAAACUCAAAGGAAUUGACGGGGGCCCGCACAAGCGGCGGAGCAUGCGGAUUAAUUCGAUGCAACGCGAA
rnacentral:rRNA from 1 species